AAAACAAGCGUUCGAGAAAAAACUGGGGGAGAAAAGGUCCAUCGUUCUGGUAGGGUUUUUCGGUGGAAGAAGAAGAAACCCUUUUUCAGAUUAGUCUGUUUCAACAGCUUUUAAAUUCUAAUACCAAAAAAAUCAUAAGCAAUGCACUCCCCACUUCUCGUUCUGAAGGAUUCGUUGAAGCGGGAGUCCGGGACUAAGGUUCACCAUGCUAAUAUCCAAGCCUCCAAGGCUAUUGCUGACAUUAUUCGAACAACAUUGGGUCCUCGAUCCAUGUUGAAAAUGCUCCUUGAUGCUGCUGGAGCUGGUGAGUUGCUUCAUGUCGCAGAAGCCUAAAUUGAAAAAAAUUAUCAUCCUACGAUUAUCUGUCGAGGUUCAAUGGUGUUGGGACUUGUGAAGAGCUGCAUAGGAACAAAGUUCACUAGCCAAUUUGGGAAUCUGAUUGCCACUCGUGCAUUUGGAUGAAAAGCGUACAGAAAUAGUACACUCGGGUAUUUUUUUUGUUCAGUUUGUGUAUCAUGUUUUCACAUGACCCAGCAAUCUCCCAUUGUUGUCUCAGUUCACUUUCUUCCUGUUAGUGUUUGGUCUGGCUCGCAUGAAAGACCAAGAUUGUAUAACUAGUGCCCAUGUCAGACAUGUUUAAGACACCGAAAUUCAUAUUGUAUUGACAUGGGAAUGGUGCCAAUAUCUUGUUU